rnacentral:tRNA from 1 species
GCCCGUGUAGCUCAGCGGUAGAGCAUUGUACUUAUGAUGCAAGGGUCUCGAGUUCGAAUCUCGGCAUGGGCA